rnacentral:rRNA from 1 species
AUACGUAGGUCCCGAACGUUGCGCGAAAUUACAGGGCGUAAAGGGUCCGUAGGCGGUCUGGUAAGUGGAAGGUGAAAGCCUGGGGCUCAACUCCAGAAUUGCCUUCCAAACUGCCGGACUUGAGGCAGGGAGAGGUCGGCGGAAUUCCCGGUGUAGUGGUGAAAUGCGUAGAUAUCGUGAGGAACACCAGUGGCGAAGGCGGCCGACUGGAACUGUCCUGACGCUGAGGGACGAAAGCCAGGGGAGCGAACCGGAUUAGAUACCCUAGUAGUCC